rnacentral:tRNA from 2 species
AGCCGCAUAGCUUAAUGGUAGAGCACCGAUCUUUUAAGUCGUGUGGUCCGGGUUCGAGUCCCGGUGUGGCCA